CCUCUAGAGAUUAGAGUUUGAUCCUGGCUCAGGACGAACGCUGGCGGCGUGCUUAACACAUGCAAGUCGAACGGAUCGUCCCUGGCUUGCCAGGGGUGUUUAGUGGCGAACGGGUGAGUAACACGUGAGCAACCUGCCCUCGACUCUGGGAUAACUCCGGGAAACCGGGGCUAAUACCGGAUAUGACUGCCUGCCGCAUGGUGGGUGGUGGAAAGUUUUUCGGUCGGGGAUGGGCUCGCGGCCUAUCAGCUUGUUGGUGGGGUGAUGGCCUACCAAGGCGACGACGGGUAGCCGGCCUGAGAGGGUGACCGGCCACACUGGGACUGAGACAUGGCCCAGACUCCUACGGGAGGCAGCAGUGGGGAAUAUUGCGCAAUGGGCGGAAGCCUGACGCAGCGACGCCGCGUGAGGGAUGACGGCCUUCGGGUUGUAAACCUCUUUCAGCAGGGAAGAAGCUAACGUGACGGUACCUGCAGAAGAAGCACCGGCUAACUACGUGCCAGCAGCCGCGGUAAUACGUAGGGUGCAAGCGUUGUCCGGAAUUAUUGGGCGUAAAGAGCUCGUAGGCGGUCUGUCGCGUCUGCUGUGAAAACCCCGGGCUCAACCCGGGGCUGGCAGUGGGUACGGGCAGACUAGAGUGCAGUAGGGGAGACUGGAAUUCCUGGUGUAGCGGUGAAAUGCGCAGAUAUCAGGAGGAACACCGGUGGCGAAGGCGGGUCUCUGGGCUGUUACUGACGCUGAGGAGCGAAAGCGUGGGGAGCGAACAGGAUUAGAUACCCUGGUAGUCCACGCCGUAAACGUUGGGCGCUAGGUGUGGGUCCCAUUCCACGGGGUCUGUGCCGCAGCUAACGCAUUAAGCGCCCCGCCUGGGGAGUACGGCCGCAAGGCUAAAACUCAAAGGAAUUGACGGGGCCCCGCACAAGCGGCGUAGCAUGCGGAUUAAUUCGAUGCAACGCGAAGAACCUUACCAAGGCUUGACAUCCACGGUAAUCCAUCAGAGAUGGUGGGUCCGCAAGGGAUCGUGGACAGGUGGUGCAUGGUUGUCGUCAGCUCGUGUCGUGAGAUGUUGGGUUAAGUCCCGCAACGAGCGCAACCCUCGUUCCAUGUUGCCAGCAACACUUUCGGGUGGUUGGGGACUCAUGGGAGACUGCCGGGGUCAACUCGGAGGAAGGUGGGGAUGACGUCAAAUCAUCAUGCCCCUUAUGUCUUGGGCUUCACGCAUGCUACAAUGGCCAGUACAAUGGGUUGCGAGACCGUGAGGUGGAGCGAAUCCCAAAAAGCUGGUCUCAGUUCGGAUCGGGGUCUGCAACUCGACCCCGUAAAGUCGGAGCCGCUAGUAAUCGCAGAUCAGCAACGCUGCGGUGAAUACGUUCCCGGGGCUUGUACACACCGCCCGUCACGUCACGAAAGUCGGUAACACCCGAAGCCGGUGGCCCAACCCUUGGGGGGGAGCCGUCGAAGGUGGGACUGGCGAUUGGGACGAAGUCGUAACAAGGUAACCG
rnacentral:rRNA from 1 species